GAUUCCCCCAAAUUUCUUCUUUCUCAGGAUUGCUGUUGCUAUGCUAGGCCUGUUGUGGCUCCAUAUAAAAUCUUGAAAUAUUUGUUCUAGUUCUGUGAAAUAUGUCAUUGGAAUCUUGAUAGGAAUUGUGUUGAAUCUAUAGAUUGCUUUGGGUAGUAUGGACAUGUUAAUGAUGUUAAAUCUUCCUAUCCA